GCAUUUGGUUAGGUGGUCCUGGUAGUGCAUGAUCCACUUGUAUUCUCCAUCUGGACAUGCCUGAUAGUCAACAAGGUCUACUUGACAACGGGAAUUAAAGUCUUGUAUUAAACAUGUAAGAUAGUGAUGUCCGAUCUUGACAUGGUUUGUAGGCUGUUAACAAACAGGAGACUAUUUUCACUGUUGAUGUGACAAAGACGUCUACUUUUUACUCUCGUUAGUGCGUUGUUUUCUCUCCCUUUUACUCGUCCAACUUAAAAAUAUUUCAUCAUAUUUAUUUUAUUUCGCAUGGCACACCAUCAAAUAUAGUAAAUAUUAACACAUUUAAGGUCAAAUAUUUGU
rnacentral:lncRNA from 1 species